UAUUGCUUAAAAGCCAUCUUUUUUUUUUUUUCAUCAUCUCUACUGUCUCUUCAACCUCAACCUACCUACUCCCCCCCCCCCCCCCCCUACUGUCUCUUCAACCUCAACCUACCCCUGCCCCCCCCCCUCUACUGUCUCUUCAACCUCAACCUACCCCUGUGCCCCCCCUCUACUGUCUCUUCAACCUCAACCUACCCCUGCCCCCCCCUCUACUGUCUCUUCAACCUCAACCUACCCCUGUGCCCCCCCCUCUGCUGUCUCUUCAACCUACCCCUGCCCCCCCCUCUACUGUCUCUUCAACCUCAACCUACCCCUGUGCCCCCCCCCUCUACUGUCUCUUCAACCUCAACCUACCCCUGCCCCCCCCUCUACUGUCUCUUCAACCUCAACCUACCCCUGUGCCCCCCCCUCUGCUGUCUCUUCAACCUACCCCUGCCCCCCCCUCUACUGUCUCUUCAACCUCAACCUACCCCUGCCCCCCCCUCUACCGUCUCUUCAACCUCCACCUACCCCUGUGCCCCCCCCUCUACUGUCUCUUCAACCUCAACCUACCCCUGCCCCCCCCCCCUCUACUGUCUCUUCAACCUCAACCUACCCCUGCCCCCCCCCCCCCUCUACUGUCUCUUCAACCUCAACCUACCCCUGCCUCCUCUACUGUCUCCAACCUCAACCUACCCCUGCCCCCCCCUCUACAGUCUCUUCAACCUCAACCUACCCCUGCCCCCCCUCUACUGUCUCUUCAACCUCCACCUACCCUUGUGCCCCCCAUCUACUGUCUCUUCAACCUCAACCUACCCCUGCCCCCCCCCCCCCUCUACUGUCUCUUCAACCUCAACCUACCCCUCCCCACCCCUCUACUGUCUCUUCGACCUCAACCUACCUACCCCCCCCCCCCCCCACUGUCUCUUCAACCUCAACCUACCCCUGCCUCCUCUACUGUCUCCAACCUCAACCUACCCCUGUCCCCCCCUCUACAGUCUCUUCAACCUCAACCUACCCCUGCCCCCCCUCUACUGUCUCUUCAACCUCCACCUACCCCUGCCCCCCCUCUACUGUCUCUUCAACCUCCACCUGCCCCCCCUCUACAGUCUCUUCAACCUCAACCUACCCCUGCCCCCCCUCUACAGUCUCUUCAACCUCAACCUACCCCUGCCCCCCCCCCCCUCUACAGUCUCUUCAACCUCCACCUACCCCUGCCCCCCCUCUACUGUCUCUUCAACCUCCACCUACCCCUGCCCCCCCUCUACAGUCUCUUCAACCUCAACCUACCCCUGCCCCCCCCUCUACAGUCUCUUCAACCUCAACCUACCCCUGCCCCCCCUCUACUGUCUCUUCCACCUACCCUUGUGCCCCCCAUCUACUGUCUCUUCAACCUCAACCUACCCCUGUGCCCCCCCCUCUACUGUCUCUUCAACCUCAACCUACCCCUGUGCCCCCCCAUCUACUGUCUCUUCAACCUCAACCUACCCCUGUGCCCCCCCUCUACUGUCUCUUCAACCUCAACCUACCCCUGCCCCCCCCUCUACAGUCUCUUCAACCUCAACCUACCCCUGCCCCCCCUCUACUGUCUCUUCAACCUCAACCUACCCCUGUGCCCCCCCAUCUACUGUCUCUUCAACCUCAACCUACCCCUGUGCCCCCCCCUCUACUGUCUCUUCAACCUCAACCUACCCCUGUGCCCCCCCCCUCUACUGUCUCUUCAACCUACCACUGUGCCCCCCCCCUCUGCUGUCUCUUCAACCUACCACUGUGCCCCCCCCCUCUGCUGUCUCUUCAACCUACCCCUGCCCCCCCCCUCUACUGUCUCUUCAACCUCAACCUACCCCUUCCCCCCCCCUCUACUGUCUCUUCGACCUCAACCUAAACCCCCCCCCCCCCCCCCCACUGUCUCUUCAACCUCAACCUACCCCUGCCCCCCCCUCCUCUACUGUCUCCAACCUCAACCUACCCCUGCCCCCCCCUCUACUGUCUCUUCAACCUCAACCUACCCCUGCCCCCCCUCUACUGUCUCUUCAACCUCAACCUACCCCUGCCCCCCUCUACUGUCUCUUCAACCUCAACCUACCCCUGUGCCCCCCCCUCUGCUGUCUCUUCGACCUCAACCUACCCCCCCCCCCCCCCCCCCCACUGUCUCUUCAACCUCAACCUACCCCUGCCCCCCCCUCCUCUACUGUCUCCAACCUCAACCUACCCCUGCCCCCCCUCUACUGUCUCUUCAACCUCAACCUACCCCUGUGCCCCCCCCCUCUACUGUCUCUUCAACCUCAACCUACCCCUGCCCCCCCCUCCUCUACUGUCUCCAACCUCAACCUACCCCUGCCCCCCCUCUACUGUCUCUUCAACCUCAACCUACCCCUGUGCCCCCCUCUACUGUCUCUUCAACCUACCCCUGUCCCCCCCCUCUACUGUCUCUUCAACCUCAACCUAUCCCUGUGCCCCCCCAUCUACUGUCUCUUCAACCUCAACCUACCCCUGUGCCCCCCCUCUACUGUAUCCACCCCCCAUCUAGUGCACAAAGCCUGGGCUAACCUAACCACACUCCACCACUGUACCCUCAAUUUUGACACAGUUUAUACUGAACAAACCCCCUGCCCUUGUCUGCCAUUAUCUCCUUUCUUCAGUAAUGAAACUGUCACAUUUUCCCAUUCAACCAGCUUCUUGUGGAUUUGGGGAGUUCCCCUCUGCCACAAACACACAAACUAA
rnacentral:lncRNA from 1 species